rnacentral:rRNA from 1 species
GACGGACGCUGGCGGCGUGCUUAACACAUGCAAGUCGAACGCUGAAGACCUGGCUUUUGUUGGGUUGGAUGAGUGGCGAACGGGUGAGUAACACGUGAGUAACCUGCCCUCUUCUUUGGGAUAACGCCCGGAAACGGGUGCUAAUACUGGAUAUUCACUGAUCUUCGCAUGGGGGUUGGUGGAAAGGUUUGUUCUGGUGGGGGAUGGGCUCGCGGCCUAUCAGCUUGUUGGUGGGGUGAUGGCCUACCAAGGCUUUGACGGGUAGCCGGCCUGAGAGGGUGACCGGUCACAUUGGGACUGAGAUACGGCCCAGACUCCUACGGGAGGCAGCAGUGGGGAAUAUUGCACAAUGGGCGAAAGCCUGAUGCAGCGACGCCGCGUGAGGGAUGGAGGCCUUCGGGUUGUAAACCUCUUUCGCUCAUGGUCAAGCCGCAACUGUGGGUUGUGGUGAGGGUAGUGGGUAAAGAAGCGCCGGCUAACUACGUG